rnacentral:rRNA from 1 species
GUCUUAACUGACGCUGAGGCACGAAAGCGUGGGGAGCAAACAGGAUUAGAUACCCUGGUAGUCCACGCCGUAAACGAUGAGUACUAAGUGUUGGGUUAAACCAGUGCUGAAGUUAACACAUUAAGUACUCCGCCUGAGUAGUACGUACGCAAGUAUGAAACUUAAAGGAAUUGACGGGACUCCGCACAAGCGGUGGAUCAUGUUGUUUAAUUCGAAGAUACACGAAAAACCUUACCAGGUCUUGACAUACUCUGCAAAGCUAUAGAAAUAUAGUGGAGGUUAUCAGGGAUACAGGUGGUACAUGGUUGUCGUCAGCUCGUGUCGUGAGAUGUUGGGUUAAGUCCCGCAACGAGCGCAACCCUUAUCACUAGUUACCAUCAUUUAGUUGGGCACUUUAGUGAGACUGCCAAUGAUAAAUUGGAGGAAGGUGGGGAUUACGUCAAAUCAUCAUGCCCCUUAUGACCUGGGCUACAAACGUGAUACAAUGGCUGUUACAAAG